rnacentral:tRNA from 1 species
UGAGGUGUAGCUCAGUGUUAUAGCACUUGCCUAGCAUGCAUGAGGCACUGGGUUCAAUCCUCAGCACCACAU